AUUGAACGCUGGCGGCAUGCCUUACACAUGCAAGUCGAACGGCAGCACGGGUGCUUGCACCUGGUGGCGAGUGGCGAACGGGUGAGUAAUAUAUCGGAACGUACCUUAUUGGGGGGGAUAACGCAGCGAAAGCCGUGCUAAUACCGCAUAAUCCCUAAGGGGGAAAGCGGGGGACCGUAAGGCCUCGCGCAAUUAGAGCGGCCGAUACCUGAUUAGCUAGUUGGUGAGGUAAAGGCUCACCAAGGCAACGAUCAGUAGCUGGUCUGAGAGGACGAUCAGCCACACUGGGACUGAGACACGGCCCAGACUCCUACGGGAGGCAGCAGUGGGGAAUUUUGGACAAUGGGGGCAACCCUGAUCCAGCAAUGCCGCGUGAGCGAAGAAGGCCUUCGGGUUGUAAAGCUCUUUUGUCAGGGAAGAAACAGCAGCUCUAACACAGUUUGCGAAUGACGGUACCUGAAGAAUAAGCACCGGCUAACUACGUGCCAGCCGCCGCCGUAA
rnacentral:rRNA from 1 species